UACGGGUGGCGAGUGGCGGACGGGUGAGUAAUAGGUAGGAAUCUGUCCUAGUGACCGGGACAACCCGAGGAAACUCGGGCUAAUACCGGGCGAUAUCGAAAGAUCAAAGCAGGGGACUUUACGCGAGUAAGGCCUUGCGCACUGGGGUGAGCCUACGUCGGAUUAGCUAGUUGGUGGGGUAAAGGCCUACCAAGGCGACGAUCCGUAGCUGGUCUGAGAGGAUGAUCAGCCACAUUGGGACUGAGACACGGCCCAAACUCCUACGGGAGGCAGCAGUGGGGAAUAUUGGACAAUGGGGGAAACCCUGAUCCAGCAAUGCCGCGUGUGUGAAGAAGGCCUUCGGGUUGUAAAGCACUUUAGGUGGGGAAGAAAGGUAACGGGCGAACACCCCGUUAUUUUGACGGUACCCGCAGAAUAAGCACCGGCUAACUCUGUGCCAGCAGCCGCGGUAAUACAGAGGGUGCGAGCGUUAAUCAGAAUGACUGGGCGUAAAGGGCGUGUAGGUGGUUGACUAGGUUUGAUGUGAAAUCCCCGGGCUUAACCUGGGAAUGGCGUCGAAAACGGGUCGACUCGAGUGAGACAGAGGGUUGUGGAAUUUCCGGUGUAGCGGUGAAAUGCGUAGAUAUCGGAAAGAACAUCAGUGGCGAAGGCGACAACCUGGGUCUUAACUGACACUGAGGCGCGAAGGCGUGGGGAGCAAACA
rnacentral:rRNA from 1 species